GAUGAACGCUGGCGGCGUGCCUAAUACAUGCAAGUCGAGCGAACGGACGAGAAGCUUGCUUUUCUGAUGUUAGCGGCGGACGGGUGAGUAACACGUGGAUAACCUACCUAUAAGACUGGGAUAACUUCGGGAAACCGGAGCUAAUACCGGAUAAUAUUUUGAACCGCAUGGUUCAAAAGUGAAAGACGGUCUUGCUGUCACUUAUAGAUGGAUCCGCGCUGCAUUAGCUAGUUGGUAAGGUAACGGCUUACCAAGGCAACGAUGCAUAGCCGACCUGAGAGGGUGAUCGGCCACACUGGAACUGAGUCACGGUCCAGACUCCUACGGGAGGCAGCAGUAGGGAAUCUUCCGCAAUGGGCGAAAGCCUGACGGAGCAACGCCGCGUGAGUGAUGAAGGUCUUCGGAUCGUAAAACUCUGUUAUUAGGGAAGAACAUAUGUGUAAGUAACUGUGCACAUCUUGACGGUACCUAAUCAGAAAGCCACGGCUAACUACGUG
rnacentral:rRNA from 1 species